rnacentral:rRNA from 1 species
CUUUACUGUAGCCUGACAUUGGGUUUGGGCUUUUCUUGCGCAGUCUAGGUGGGAGGCUAUGAUGUUUUACUUGCGGGUAAAAUGGAGCCAUUAUUGAGAGACCACUCUGGAAGAGCUAAAAUUCUAAUAAUGAUCCUUGAAUCAGGACAUUUGACAGUGUCAGGCGGGCAGUUUGACUGGGGCGGUCACCUCCCAAAAGGUAACGGAGGUGUGCAAAGGUUCCCUCAAGCUGGACGGAAAUCAGCUGAAGAGUGUAAAGGCAUAAGGGAGCUUGACUGCAAGACCUACAAGUCGAGCAGGGGCGAAAGCCGGCCUUAGUGAUCCGACGGUACCGAGUGGAAGGGCCGUCGCUCAACGAAUAAAAGUUA